AUGAAACAAAUAAAUGUAUUUUCGAAAGAAGAAGUUGUUGAAAAAGUCACUUAUCACGUUCACGGUAUCAGAGCACCCUGGAUGAGUACCUGGCAAACCUUCACUCAGUACCAACCCAGCCCGACCAUCGUCCCCCUCCCCCUCAACGAGUACCCUGCCAAAGUGGACGUGCAGAUCCGCGUGACUGAAGGUUCUCAGGAACAUAUAUUUUCUGGGAUUGGUUCUUGUCAACGAGAUGAUGAUGAUCCUAAUCCUUACGGAGGCAUAGUUUACAUUUAUAACCACAAGGAAGUUCAACUCUAUACACCUUCCAUUUCUGAUACACCUCAAAAGAAUACUGAUGGUAGUUUUGCCUAUACUGGUGGAUUGUCGUUUAAUGGACCAUUCUUUGGAAACUACACAACAGCUGACGUCAGAGUAAGGGUAUGGAAAAUGUGUGAUUUCCCGCCAGCAAACUUUACGUCUGCUAAUGCAUAUAAUGUAUCAACUUCAGAUGGAGUUUUUUGUUUGUCGGACGGAUGGGCGUCGUCAGAAUAUUCCGAAUAUGAAUAUACGUCUGCGUCUGUUUAUGUACAAGCAUGGAUCUUUAGUUCUUCCGACAUUGUGUUUACUCAAACUGACACAAGAGGUUCAGGAAUAAGUGUUUCUCCGACUAUAGAAAUGCCACGACCGUUCGAUAUCGAUACUCAUUUAUUUCUUGUUCAAUCACAAGCUGUGGACGGGGCCUAUGCUAAUUAUGUGUUUGAAGGCACUGGAUCAGCACAGAGCGACGGAUCGACUUUCUUCGAAAGAAUAGGCGCUGUGGUGUACGCGUAUAAUUCAAAAGAAGUCAAUCUUUGGUACCCAGGAUCUGAAGAUUAUCUUAUAUUCAUUGGUGGAGCGUGGGGAAGCGGUGCCCCUACACAAACAUCGUGUCUGUUAAGGUCAUCAACGCUGAAUCACCCUUGUCAGGCUGUGGGUUAUCUUUGUGUUCUUCAAAUUGGAAUACACUCACCACUACUUGCUCACCUUCUCAUCCAAUUGAUAUCCCUAAUGCGGAUAAAUUUAUUCUUGAUAACAACACCAUAUAUACGUGCGUGCCUGGUUACCAAUCAAAUGGCGGGAAAAGUGUGAUUGCAUACAAUGGUACUAAUUGGGAGGAAACGGACUACAGCUGCUCAGAGCCAGCUUCUUGUCUCGAUAACAGCAACAAUAAGACACUGUUUUACAAUAUCACUAUCCUCGAAAAAUUGGUGGAAUCCCUUAAAAGGAACCUGACAAUUGAUAUGAAAAACACAAGCGCAUAUCGUCGAUCUUUGACAUGCGCAACGGACCCUCGAGCAAGUGCCUCUCACCUCGGUUUUCUGGGAAUAUUUAUUUUGAGUUUAACUGGAGGAUUGUUCGUGUGUGCUGAUCUUUCUAGAGUUGUGAAAUCAACAGAAAAAUUGUACUUUAAAUAACGAUGAAAAAUA
rnacentral:sRNA from 1 species